rnacentral:lncRNA from 1 species
GGAAAAAUAAGUUUUUUGCCUUUUAUUUCAUUGCAGGCAAAACAAAAUGACUUUUAAAAUUCAUACAAUACAUUAAUUUGGAAAACUGUAGGAGUGCAUUUAAUAUUGCAGAUCCUUUUACUGAAAGUCAGAAAUGUGAAAUCUUAUAAAUGUAAACCCAAACAUUUAAUCACAACUGAACUUAUGAAUGCCAAUUUUUAAUAUUGUGGACAUAUUUGAUACUGAAGUA